UAUCAUGUCAUUCUCUUUAGCUAGCUAGCUAGAGCUAGCACACAUAAACACAUAAACCAAAGGUAGCGCUUAGCUACGUGCUAAUCGCUAGCUAACCGCUAAUCGCUAGCUACAUGCUAAUCGCUAGCUACAUGCUAAUCGCUAGCUAAGUGCUAGCUGUGGUUAAUGUGUUUAAUUGUAUUAUGCUCCUGAAGGAGUGCUAAUGUAAAUUAAGGAACAGCUCAUAGUAGGGUAAAAUAUUUAAGGUGUAUUGUUCUUAUUUUGUGUUAAUAUUAAAAUCAUUCAGCUUUAAA